rnacentral:rRNA from 1 species
GAUGAACGCUGGCGGCGUGCCUAAUACAUGCAAGUCGAGCGAACAGACGAGGAGCUUGCUCCUCUGACGUUAGCGGCGGACGGGUGAGUAACACGUGGAUAACCUACCUAUAAGACUGGGAUAACUUCGGGAAACCGGAGCUAAUACCGGAUAAUAUAUUGAACCGCAUGGUUCAAUAGUGAAAGACGGUUUUGCUGUCACUUAUAGAUGGAUCCGCGCCGCAUUAGCUAGUUGGUAAGGUAACGGCUUACCAAGGCAACGAUGCGUAGCCGACCUGAGAGAGGGAUCGGCCACACUGGAACUGAGACACGGUCCAGACUCCUACGGGAGGCAGCAGUAGGGAAUCUUCCGCAAUGGGCGAAAGCUUGACGGAGCAACGCCGCGUGAGUGAUGAAGGUCUUCGGAUCGUAAAACUCUGUUAUUAGGGAAGAACAAAUGUGUAAGUAACUAUGCACGUCUUGACGGUACCUAAUCAGAAAGCCACGGCUAACUACGUG